AUUGAACGCUGGCGGCAUGCUUUACACAUGCAAGUCGAACGGUAACAGGGAGCUUGCUCCGCUGACGAGUGGCGAACGGGUGAGUAAUGCGUCGGAACGUGCCGAGUAGUGGGGGAUAACGCAGCGAAAGUUGUGCUAAUACCGCAUACGUACUGAGGUAGAAAGUGGGGGACCUUCGGGCCUCACGCUAUUCGAGCGGCCGACGUCUGAUUAGCUAGUAGGUGAGGUAAAGGCUCACCUAGGCGACGAUCAGUAGCGGGUCUGAGAGGAUGGUCCGCCACACUGGGACUGAGACACGGCCCAGACUCCUACGGGAGGCAGCAGUGGGGAAUUUUGGACAUGGGCGAAAGCCUGAUCCAGCCAUGCCGCGUGUCUGAAGAAGGCCUUCGGGUUGUAAAGGACUUUUGUCGGGGAGGAAAUCCCCAGCGCUAAUACCGCUGGGGGAUGACAGUACCUGAAGAAUAAGCACCGGCUAACUACGUGCCAGCCGCCGCGGUAACAC
rnacentral:rRNA from 1 species